GGUCAUGGAAGACUUUGUGAAAUCAGUUGCCAAUUCCGUCUACACAAAGAGCUCAGAGGAUGUCCAAUUUGUUGGGGACAGAAUCAACGAAGGAACAAAACGUGCGACUCUUGUAUACAGAAGCCAUCUCAAUAUUAUACAGACAUAAAGAUCAAUUUGAAUGCACACCAUGAUGGGGCGUUGACUUGCAGUCUGAACACGAGGCCUUUUGGUUUGUCACAGUGGGAACAUCCCUGUCUUUGUAGUGGACUACCCCAAGGAUAUCAAACCUUUCUAUGCUAGGCUGAAUACCGACGACAAAAAUGGCAGCAGCUGUAGAUCUGUUUGUUCCAAGAGUAGGCGAGUUGAUCAGUGGUAGCUUGAGAGAGGAACGUCUUGAUGAUUCCUGCAUAGAAUAAAGCACCUGGGACUUCAGGAUUCUAAUUACCAAUGGGAUCUAGAUUUAAGACGCUUUGGAACAGUUCUCCACAGUGGCUUUGGACUUGUGUAUGAGUGCCUGCUAGGGUACUUACUUGGUGUGGACCACAUACGAGAUGUCAUUCCCUUCCCACGAUUCCCUGGCUCCUGCCCUCUCUGAUGGUAGCUCCGCACAGCUGUCAAACUUCUUUAUGGGGACGUCUUCCGAUCGUGGUGUAAUGGUGCUGAUUUUACCCAACUGAUAAGAAAGGAUGAUGAAUGUCUGCUAGCAACCAGAGGACAGACGGCUUUGCAUCCUUGCAGAGGGACCUGGACAUGAGGAUCAAGGAAACCAGGAAGGGGGGGUGUUUCACAAAGAUUUAAGUGUGAUUUAUGGGGUGUUGCAAGAAAUUUGCAGUUGAUCGCAAGAUAGUUUUUGGACCACAAUCAAUGGAAAGUUACCCUUUUCAUUGCAAAUUUGCAAUGAUUGCAAAUAUUUCCCUGCAACACCCCCUAAGAGUCGCACUUAUAUGUCAGUUGCGCACUUUAUGUGCAUUACCGUGUGCUAGCGUUUAAGCAUGACUCCAAGUCACUCUUUAUCUUUUGUGAAUCCCAUCAGGACCUAGGCCUCGCAUCAAACACAGGAAUCUGUGUUACGAAGAUCACUGUCCUACCAUUGCGCGCUACCAUUGGGAAUGUUUCUUGGAACAAAUAGUUAUUUUCACUGACUAAUUCUCUCUAAGCAAAUCAGAUACAAGGAAUAUGGUAGCUUAUAACAGGGGACUGUUUCAUUAAGAUUUUGUCCGACAAGUUGUCAGAUCUGAAAUCUUUCCUUGAAUUUCAUUGGCUGAGAAGCAGUGUUACUGUGGUAACUGUCGGAUAAAACGUCCGAUAAGUCCUUUCAUGAAAUCCUCCCCAGAAGUCAGUAAAGUCCAAGCGCACACUAUGCGAUCCGAUACAACACAUUUUUUAAUGAAUCGCAUUUUGCAUUAAACAUGAGAGUGCCAAGGAGUAAAAGUAUUUCAUUUGAAGUCAGGCAUGAAUGUUAGGAAUAAUAAAGUUAUCAUUUUGCUUAAUUUUGCGGCAUGCUCUGUGGUCGGAGUAAUGUCUAAAUUGGCUUCAAGUAGCAUUCAAUUACAAUAGUCAGACUUUACACGACUUUACAAUACAUAGAAAGAUAUUUAUUAAAAAAUCUAACUAAAAAACAGUGAUUUGAGGGCAUUUCAUGUGAAUGCCUCCAAAUGCAGCCUUUUUCAUAAAAAUCCCUGAAAUCUUGUGUAAAGUGAAUGGGUGCGUAGACAUGUGGCUCCAUUGUUUUGUUUAAUCUGAAAAUGACUUGCCGAUGUUUUUUCCAGAAAAUCGUAUAUUUCUCUCAAAUUCUCAUGAGAUUUCAACCGUAAAUUUACUUGAAAAUAAAGAAAAAUCAUGAUUAAUAUUAAUAAAAAAAUGUUUAGGUGCGCAGACAUGGCUCCCCCCUCAAUCAAAAGUGAAUGUAGUCCAACUACUUCAGAAUCUGUAUCAUGCAUUUUGUGGAAAAUCAAAGGUCUUUGCCUGCAGACUAGUACAGGCUUUGAAGAAGUUAGUGCAAUAUUAUACAAAUAAUGCAUGGCUCAGUGCAUUGGGUCAGCAUGCGAUAACACAUUGUCUGGAAACCAAUACAUUAUGUCAAUGGGUCAUCGACAUCAUUGCCCUUUUGUGACCUUGGAUUAUCACAGUUUUUAAGGGUAAAUGAAAAAAAGGGGGAAAAAUAGAUAUUUCAAAGUCGGAAAUUCAAUACUCCUGGAAUAUUGCAUUGCAUAAUGCAGGCAAUAUCUAGUUAACAGAGAUUUCAGUCAUAUUAAUCCAAGUAAAUCUACACCAAGAGUCAUAUAUAUGUUUUAUCCAAUAUGGGACUUAAUGCGCAUUUGCUAUUCAUGAACCCAUUUUAUAUUUUUUAUGUAGACUUUUGUGUAACAGGAGCAGGUCCAAGCUAUUUUAUCUUUGCUUACAGUUAAAACAUCUGAAUUAUCAGUUAUUUCAUUAGUAGAUGCAAACUCUGUUAGCCAUGGUUACUAGGAGUCAAUAAGUUGUGCAUUGGUUAGAAAUGAUUUGCAAGUAUUUUUAGGGCUUUGAAUUAUGAUCAUUUCUAGAAUUAGGCUGAGUAUUUGUGGUUUAAAAAGCCUGUCUUCAGUUUUGGAAAAGGCUAAAAAAUGUGAAUUAUACUUGAUCAUCCUAAAUUUUGAUUGUAAGACUUUGAAGUAGCUGAUUAAUCUUGUUUUUUCAACCCCCAAUUCUCGGACAAUUUAAAUAUUCAAACCAAACAUGUCUAGUGCCCUCUAUCAGUGAUAUUUUUUGUUCCUAUAAAAGGGCUCUUUGAACAUUUAGUCUUACAAAAGGAGCUACAGUCGCAAAGAUUAUGUCCUAAAAUCUUCAGUCCAAUCCAUGCUUUGGAAUAGGUUAACAUAUAUAUAAACCUCAGUUUAUUUUGACCGGGCACCCAAUCAAAAUGCAUUGUCAUGUAAAUGUAAAAUGGCAAUUUUUGUCUCACCUGCAUAGCAAAGUGAGACUAUAGGCGCCGCUUUUCCGAGGUCAAUCAAGUAUUACUGAACAUCCUGCCUGAGUUUCAUGUCACAUGACUAAGGUCAAAGGUCAUUUAGGGUCAAUGAACUUCGACCAUGUUGGGGGAAUCAACAUCAAAAUCUUAACCUAAGGUUAAGUUUUUGAAAUGUCAUCAUAACUUAGAAAAUAUAUGGACCUAGUUCAUGAAACUUAUACAUAAGGUUAAUCAAGUAUCACUGAACAUCCUGCAUGAGUUUCACGUCACAUGACCAAGGUCAAAGGUAAUUUAGGGUCAAUGAAAUUUGGCCGAAUUGGGGGUAUCUGUAGAAUUACCAUCAUAACUUUAAAAGUUUAUGGAUCUGAUUCAUGAAACUUGGACAUAGUAGUAAUCAAGUAUUACUGAACAUCCUGUGCAAGUUUCAGGUCACAUGAUCAAGGUCAUUUAGGGUCAAUGAACUUUGGUCAAAUUGGGGUAUUUGUUGAAUUACCGACAAAACUUUGAAAGUGUGUUGGUCUAGUUCAUAAAACUUGGACAUAAGAGUAAUCAAGUAUCACUGAACAUCCUUUGCGCAUUUUAGGUCACAUGACCAAGGUCAAAGGUCAAUGAACUUUGGCCAUAAUGGGGGUAUCUGUUGAAUUACCAUCAUAACUUAGAAAAUAUAUGGACCUAGUUCAAGGUCAAAGGUCAUUUAGGGUCAAUGAACUUUGGCCGAAUUGGGGGUAUCUGUAGAAUUACCAUCAUGACUCUAAAUCAGCACUGCUGCUAUAUUGAAUCGCGUGAUGCAGGUGAGACGGCCAGAGGCAUUCCACUUGUUAUCAAUAGCCUCCACAUCUGAAAAUUUUAGGGCAUACACAUUCAUAUAGCCUCGUGAUGAAUUACAAUUACCAUAGUGAUAUUUUGGUGGAUUUACCAAGACUAAAAACAGGCUUUAUGUUAGUUUGUAAUUUUCUCUCAGCGAAGUUGUGAUUUGUGAUUAUUUUGUGUUGACUAGUCUGCAAAAGUGGAUCCAAAGGUUUUCCAGAGUUUUUGCCGUUCGAGUUUUAUCUCUGGUUUUUUACCCUGGACCUACUUGUCGUAGAAUUUUUCAACACAAAAUUUUCACUCCCCUGCACAUCAGGGUCAAAUGUCACAUAGGUCAUUAUUCUAAAAUUAGGUUAGGUUUGCAAUAUAUUCUCGGUCUAGCAGUGGCGGGGCUAUAACAUUUGAUUGCAUGAAGUCAAUGAUCCAUGUUCCCAUUAAUAUAUGGUGCCUGUUAUGUGCUUUUGAGUAUUUAGGCCUGUUUAGGAAGUACUUUAAUAUAAAUCAUUAGAUUGUUUUAGAAAAGUAUAUGCAGAGUUGCCAAUUAGUAGGAUUUUUAAGGGGAAAUCGACACUAAAUAAGGUUUUCCCCUAGAAAUACGAUUUUUGAAAGUUGUAAGAAUGAUAGUUUUUAGUAUGCUUCGUUUUCGCAAAAGUUUAAAGAAAAAUAAGAUUGUAGGCUUGACGAUAAGAUAAAAAUGAAUAAAUAAUAGGAUUUUUUUCACAAUGUAGGUUAGCAGCUAUGUAUAUGGCACUAUCGAGACAAUUCCCAGAAGUGUUUCACAAGUAGCUGAAAUCAGUCUCAAAGUCGUGCUAUCAUGUUAACAUGCACAUGAUACUGUAUGUAAUGUGGAGCUUCAUUGAUUCAUACAGAGAAGAGCUCGUUCUCUGAGCAUGAUCCAACCAAUGAAGUUUUUGUAUUUCAUUUUCCAAACAAGUGAAUAUUCAAAAACAAUUUGUAGUCAUACUGUCAUCUUUGUGAAACACCUCUGUGAUUUGUCUCAUUUGUCGCAUGUAAUGUCAGAUAGCUUGGACCUGCCUUACAGUGUACGAUUGUCUGUACUACUUGCUUUGCAUUCAGGAUUUUACCUUUCUUUCUUGAACAAAACUGUAAGACCAGCAGCCAAGAAGAUUCGUUCAAGUUGGAGGACCGUAGCAGCUGACCUCAUUGAUUGAUGGUGGUAGGCCCGACACCUCACAAACAUGGCUUCCUGUCUGGUUUAAGCCGGGAUCUUCCUGUCAGAAUCACACAAUAUGUGAUGUCACUACCAAGAGUUCUAUUUUUCAGUGUGCAGAGGAGGGCACUUGACACUGCUGUGCAUGGCAUACAGCUUCCAUGAUGUAAGUGCUUUAUUGAUGAUUUCAAUGAUAUUUUGUGUAGCCGAAAGUAUGGGAGACAAUGUACAUGAUUUUCCAGCAGUUAUUACUGAAGAUAUUCAUUAGUUUGGAAAUAUUGGGCAGCAUUAUUACCCACACUGGGCUUUUAUUUACAUUAAGCCUCGAUCGCACUUUUCAAAUUCAUGACGUUCUCUUUAAUCUUUGGAAUGAUAUUCUUUUCAUGAAAAUCUAUCAAAACGAUACCAUCUCUGAAAGCAAUUUUGACAAAUUUGUAGGGACUUAAAAAACUCCCAAUUGCUCUCCUCCCCUCGUGUUUAACUUUCCCCUCUCCUCUUCUACAAUGUAAUACUUGCAUUAUCUGUUGAUCCAUUGAUUGCCGUCUUUCUUCAUAUACCUCUCAGCACUAUCUGCUCUAGCUGCUGUUCUAAAUUCAUCUUUGUUUCACACUGUUGCAACAUAACAUCUGCCAUGACUGAUAUAAUAAUUUGCUAAUAUGACAAAGAAAUCAUUUAAAAGGAAAUUGAUAUAUGUUUACAGACUAUGAUAUCAUUAUUGUUUUAUUAGUUGCCUAGACAUGAUAGAGCAGCGUGAAUUAUUUUGCAAUCAAAUCCCUUUUUCUGUACCUAUUGUUUUUUUGGACGGACCAAUUGGAAUUUUCUAAAUGUUUGGUCCAAUCCCCAUUUACCAUGAACCUAAUUUUUUUUUUCAAAAAUGCCGAGUGUGUAUCCAUGAUGUAAACACAGAAUGCGAGAGAUCUAGCCAGACCUGUGUUGGAUGAUAAUGAUAUUGUGAUGAAGGUGGCUUCUCAAUAUCGGUUCGUCUGCAAAAAAAACCAAAAAGACAAAAACAAUAAAACAUAAAGACAAACCUUUUGUCUUUAAUACUUAACUUUGGAUAAAAGUCAAACCUUUUUAUGGGGAUUGUGUGCUUCAAUGGUUUUCCACAACUUCGCCUCCAAUCACUACAAGACAAGUAAGACUGGAAUCUAGUUUUAGAAGUGCAAUGUCAAAUUUUAUGUCUAUCUUGCCAGCAUUUGCUAUUUACUUUUCAAGCCUUGACUGCUCUAGUGUUUCUAGUUGACCAUUUGUGUUGGGCCUUUUGCACAUUUGUCAAAUAUAUUGGAUGGAGCAGUUUAGCUAAGACGGCUUUGAGCUUCGUCGCAGUAAUCAAGGUCCAUCAAGAAUCGGUUUGCACUACAAACAAGCAAAGAGAGGAACUGUUGAUCUAUGUUUGAAGAGAGGUCUGCUGACUUCCGCAGUAAUGUUUCAAUUGCAUGUGAUAUUUUUGUAUUUGGUGUUUGAAUGUCUGAUGUUGAGGUAAUCCUAAGGUAUUCUCUGACCAACAGGAUUAGUGUUUUUCAGCCUAUUUGUUGGUAUCCAUUGCUCUUCAAAACAUGCUAGUUGCAUAUUAUCAGUUAGUAAUUCAAAUGGUGACAUCUGAUGAGGGGUCUGUUCCUUUGAUUGUUUUACUAAAAUACAUGGUGCUUUACAGGUGGUCUCAAUGAUAUUCAUUGCAUCGUUUGGUAAACAUUACAGCAUUUUGAUCUGCAUGGCUCUUACUAUCUGCUGAUUGCCAUCUAGACUCUGGAAUUCAUCCACAUUUCAGUCUGUGGGUGAGGCAGUGAUUCACCAGAUUCUCAACAUUCUUGGACCCGUUUAAUAAAGGACUUGCAGCUGUAGUAACUUUGUCAUUAUGGCAACUACCAUGGUAACCUUGAUUCUGAUUGGCUGCUGAGCCCAGUUACCAUGGUAGAUGGCAAAGUUACAACAGUUGCAAGUCCUUUAUUAAACGGGCCCCUGAAUUCUCCAUUUUCCAUUCUUUCCAUCUUUGUUUAAUCAUUGCAUCGCCAAGUAGUUUUUUCCCCAGGGAAUGAAAGUUGCAUUUAUUCACUUGGCUGAAUUAAAAAUGGGUUGCUGUAUUUGUUGAGGUAUUUGAUAGAACUUGGCAUAUCUGACUUGGUUGAUCUGCAGCAUGUUUCAUAAAGCGGUUUGUAAGUUAAGAGCGACUUAAAGAAUGACUGGCGAACCUUUCUUACACGCUUAUAUCACCAAUGAAUAUUGAAUGGUGCAUAUUUUCCACAAGAAAGGAUCACCAGUCAUUCUUAAAGACGAUCUUAAUUUAUGAACAGCUUUAUGAAACACCCAUCCGGUCCUCUUUCAAAUGUACAUUAUCUCCUGUGCUUUGAAAAAUUUAUUCAGUCCAAACCAGAGCUGAUUAGACAAACCUAAUUGUAGAGGAUUGUGACAUUGCAUACGGUAAGGAGCCAGACUGGGAUAUCUCUUCAAGACCCGAGAGUUCUGACCAUGGUGAUCAAUGAAUGAUGCUUGUAAUUCCUAGAAGAGCCUCAUCAGCAUCCGCACUUGGUGCCAUUAUAAUGAUGAAGUUAGGGCGAAUGAGUCUUCGAGACCUGACCAUGUUAUUGUAUUGGAUUGUCGUACCUUGAAUAGCCUCGGCAACAUUCUCACAUGGAUCGAUAAUUAUGGCAAGGACGCAGGGGCCCUCUAGCAUAACCCAGUUUUGAUGAGGUGUAAUUGAAAGGCUUCUACUAGAUUGUUACAAUGGUUUCCGACAUCGGUCUGGUACAAGUUUUGGAAAUUAUAUUUGGUGCUGUCCUUGAAAUUUGACAUUCCUUCUGGAAGAUUGUUACAGUUGACUUUCACUUUUGCCUAAAGAAGUAGAUUCCUGCGUCAAGUCUGAAAGGAGGUGUGGAAAUUUUUGUCUUGUGCUGCUUCUGAAAUUCCUUCUUACUCAUCUUUCGACUGAAAAGAGUGUUUCCUACAUUUCAUUCUGGAAGGAGUUAUGGACAUUUAUUGGAUGCCAUCUCAUAAAUUUGACAUUGCACUUCACUACUAGGGAACAUGCAUUGUACUGUGAUGAUUGAGGGUGCAUUGUGGGAUAUAAAGUGCACUUCCUCAGGACGAGUCUAUCUUGAGGGUUCAACCUGUUAGAUCUAGAUUCACAAUAUCUUAUCAUUCUGAAUGCAAUAGCUCUAUCUCUCAAAAUUUCUGUGGAAGAAGUGAUGGAUGCAUACGCAAACCAUUUGGUUCUUUUAUGGUGGUGAAUAAAAACAAUGAAAACAAAGAAAGCAAAACAAAACAAAAGAAAAAAACAUCAGAUGUUUGUUUUCCCUAUUGGUUUAUUUCUAAAAAUCAACCAAAAAUGCAGUGUUCAUUGAAGUUCAUAUAAACAACUGUAUUAUGUACAGGAAAACGGUGCAUUUAUUUGCAAAAUUGUUCUAAUACUCCCGAAUUUCUCAGGAUGCUGCUUAUCUGAAAAUAAUAGCCCCCCCCCCAAAAAAAAAAUAAUAAUGAUAAUAAGUAAAAAAAAAAAAUAAGUAAAUAGAUAAAUAAUAACAAAAAAUAACUAAAUAAAUAACUAAAUAAUAAUAAUGAUAAUAAUAAUAAAUAAAAUAGAUAAAUACAAAAUAAAUUGAAAUGAAAAAAAAAUAAUAAUUUAGAAAAAUAUGCAAUGAUACAUUUAUUGAAAAUGAAAAAUAUUUGGACAAACAAUACGGUUUAAUGAAAUUAUUUAGAACAUUUUAGAUAUCAGUCAUGUGUGUAAAUGUUGAUAUAGUGUGAAACGAAGGUAGGUUGGCGGGAAUGGGGAGCAUUCAUGGAGGGUUUGUCAGUGAUUUUCACUAAUUAGCUCUCAGCCAAUCAGAUGCAAGAAUUUUCAGUAGCUUAUAACAUCUGUUGGUGAAAGUCACUGACAGAAAUCUCUGUGAAACACUCCCUGAGAUGGAUAGCACAGGGAGGUAUGGAGAUACCACAAUCGGUGGAUAAACUGGUAAACCUGUAGAAAGAAGAGAGGGGAAUAGAGGGGGCAGAUGAAAGAAAAUUAGAUGGCUUUGUUCUGAAUAAAAACAAAGGAGAUUAACAAUUUGAUUCAUUUGGCAAGAAAGAGAAGUACAGGGAGGAGUUAGAAAAUCAAUGCAUUGUCUCUCAUGCACUUGGCUGCACAAAGUAUCAUCGAAGUUGUCAAUAGAGCACCUACAUUAAGGAUGUGGUAUGUCAUGUAUGGCAGUGUCCAGUGCCCCGCCCUGCACACUUAAAAAUAGGACAAUUGGUGGUGAUGUCAUGUAUUGUGUGAGUUUGACAAGGAGACCCCAGCUCAGACUGGCGGCCAUUUUGUGAGGGUUAGGGCUUGCUCCUUCAAAUCAAGGUCAGUUGCUAUGGUAACCUAACUUGGAUGGAUCUUCUUGGCUGCUGGUCAUUUUUUUUUAAAUCAAUUUUUUUAACUAUUUGAAUAAACCAUUUGGAAAAUGAAAACAA